AUCCUUGGGAGAAUGGAGCUGGCUCAGCCUCUGCUAAGACUAGAAUUCCCUUGGCUCGUGUUUUCCAGCUCACAGAGAUCAGAUUUGCUUGCUUCUUGGUUGUCUGCCCUUUGCUUCCUUUAAGGUGCAGGAUGAUGGAGUGAUCUACCGUCUUCGUUUGCCAAAGCUCCAUCGCUCAUCAUUCGUUCAAGAGGACGCUUGUUUCUUGUCAAGUAUCUUGUAUUACCCAAUUUAGUUUUUAAAGGUUAUUUGCAUGUCCCAGAUCAUGCUAACGAGUCAGCAGGCACCCACGAUGGUUUGUCACUGAGUUAGGUAAUGAGGCAGGAUAACCAAGGAUACCCAGGUGUGGUAGGUACCUGUCAUCAAAUUGAACAAGGGGUAUGAGAGUCACAUGCAAGGAAGGGUGUGAGAUUAAUGCAAGGAAGAUGAUUUUUAGGAACUCUCAGAGUAGUGGGGGCAAGCAAGGCCUUGAGGGAUCUGGGAAGACUGCGUGGAGGAGGUGAGCUGUGAGGAGGAUGGGUAAGCCCAUGCAUUCCAGCAGGGAAAGAGCAUGAGAAGGGUCUGGGUCGAUGACUAACUGAACAAGGAAUAAUGUAAAUGGGCUGUCCUUUGGGGUAUCCUGACCCCCAGGUAUGUUGAUAAACUCGGUGCAAACAUGUAUCCCAAGCCUUCUCAGAGCUUACCUCUUGGGGAAAGGGGAAAUGCUUUCUCAAGAUCACCUGAGGCAUCUUGCCGACAGCAUCCCUGUUCCAACUCAUUUCUAGGGGCCAGUGGGACACCCGCUGUGAGGGUGACCCUAAGCUGCCUCUUUGCACUUACAGCACUCGGCUCUGAGUGUGAGUGUGUACUUCCGUGCAGUGAGGUCUCUGGUAAAUGGCUGGUUGCUGCUAGUAUCCUUAGACUUCCUCUGACCUCUUCCCCUGCUGCAUCCCCAUCUCAUUCCAAUGGUCUCUGGAGCAUCCAUGUGUCCGCAGGGCUUAUUGUCUCCUGAGCGGAUGGAGAAACGCCCAGCUGAAACGUUAGGAUUGGUUAGCCAUCUGGCAGAUCUAUUAUCUGAACUAAAUAGAUGGCAGGCUGAAGGUUCAGAAACUCCCAGUUCCCAUCUGGUGUGUGGAAAGAUCCGAAUCCUGAAUCAAGAGCUUCAGAGCCCGCUUGCCACUAGGACGGACUGUCCUCUGGAUCUGUGCCGGACACCAAUGAGAUCAGUGUCACAGGUGUGACAGCUCAUUUGGCUCUAGUGAUGGAUUGGCUGGGGUGUGGGGGGAGGCUGACCAUAAGGGCAGCGAGUCCUCGGUUUUGUGGCAUUUAUCAGAAGCAUCAAGAGAUGCCAAGGGUGAGUGUUCUGUCGGAAUAGGAGUCACAGGGAAAGAACAUUAGGAGCUCAUCUCGGUAUUAAAGAUGUCUUUUCAGAAGGGCCACAUGUGACGAUUCACAUCACCUAUUCAAAAACUCUGAUACGUGGCCUACCCCAGCUGUUCUCGUGGAUUGAAUGCACCAUUCAAGCAUGGGGAGGAGUCAAACAUUCUCUGCUCCAGCUCAUUGCUGUUCUGGACACACGUCUCCUCCUUCAGAGUUCAGGUCAAUACCCUUCCACCCUCCAGAUCCUCCUCCCUUUAGGCUUUUGCUCAAAGAGCUCCUUGCCAAGAAUGCAUCCUGUGGUGGGCAAGCUUCAGCUUGGGAGCCUGGGAGCUGUUUGUAUUUCCUGAGAGGUUUACCGGAGGAAGGAGGACCUACCCUGAAAGUGGGUGUCGUCAUCCCAUGGACCUGGAAGUCUCAAAUGGAAUAAGAAGGAGAAAAACGAGGAGGCCAACUGAGUACCAGCACUCACCUCUCUGCUUCCUGUCUGUGGUUGCAAUGUGACCGUCCCGAAAUGCUCUUGCCUCUGCGUCUUCAGCAGUGAGAUGCACUGUAUCCUCGAAUUAUGAGCCCAAACAAAACCCUCCCUCUUUACAUUGCCUCUUGUCAGAUAUCUGGGUACAACAGGCAACGGUAACUAAUACACCUCCGAAGGUCACCCAUUAAAGACUGCAGUCCCCUCAACACAUUCACUUUUAUCUUACUUGACCAUCUGAUAUAUGCCUGAUAUUUAUCCGUAUGCAUCUGUACCUAUUCCCAUAUAUAUAUAUAUCUCAAGGUUUUAAAAGGAUAGGAAAAUGCAGGUGACAUUUAUCAACCGUUUUUCAGCACGCAGCUCGGUGAAAUUAAGUAGAUUCACAACAGUGGACAAUGGUUACCACACUUCUCUAAACCUCGUUUCAUUUUGCAGAAUGGAAACUCUGAACCUGUAACACAAUCACCUUUCCCCCUCCCCCAGGCUCCAGAAGGCUUCGUUCUGCUCACUCUCUGUCCCUGAUAAUUUGGCUGUUCAUAUUAAAUGGAAUAAUCCAAUAUUUGUCUUCUGGGGACUGGCUUAUCUUGCUUGGCAUACUGUUUCAAUUUUAUCCCACACGGGGUCAGGAUUUUUUUUUUUUUUUUUGCCUGAACAAUGCUGCAUCAUACACAUGCAUCAGUUUUGCUCAUCUAUCCAUCCCUUGAAGGACUGGGUUGCUUCCUCUCUUUGGCGGUUGUGAGUAAUGCUGCUGUAAGCACGGACAUACACACAGCUCCUCAAGAUCCUGUUUUUAGGUCCCAUGGUGCACAUUCAGAAGUGGAAUGCUUGGGUAUGUGGUAAUUCUGUGUUCGGUUUUUGGGGAGCGGCCAUUUUGUUCUCCACAGCAUCGGUAACAUUCAUGUUCCGACAGUGCACACAGGCUCCCGUUUCUCCUCAUCCUCACCAGCGCUUGCCAUCCAUUUCUUUGUCAGCAGUCGCCCUGAUGGCUGUGACAGGACAACUCUUCAUAGUUCUGCUUUGCUUUUCUCCAGUGAUUAAUGGGAUUGAAUAUGUUUUUCCAUGCUUGUGGGUAUUUGCAUAUCUUCUUUGAAGAAUUGUCUAAACCAGUGGUUCUCAAACUUCCUAAGGCUGCGACCCUUUAAUACAGUUCCUCACGUUGUAGUGACCCCCAACCACAACAUUAUUUUUGUUGCUACUUUAUAACUGUAAUUUUGUUACUGUUAUGAAUCAUAAUGUCAUAAUCAUAAUGAAUCAUAUUUUAGGGAAAUAAGAGGUUUGUCAAGGGGGUCGUGACCCACAGGUUGAGAACCAGUGGAACCAGCGCUUAAGCCCUUUGUUUUUUGUUUUUUUUGUUUUUUUUUUUUAUGGUGCUAGGCAUUGAACUUAGGAUCAUGUGACACCAGGCGAGUCCUCUGCCACUGAGCCACAGACCCAGCCUUUGCCAAUUUUUAAAGUCAGGCUCUGUAGUCAUUUUUGUUACUGCUCUAAGUUGUAAGUGUUCUUUAAAUAUUCUGUGUCUGGAAAAUGUUUUAAAUAAAUUAAUUAACCAUUUUUCUUUUUAGAACAAGCUUUUUGAGAUAUUCUCACCAUGUAGCCUUGGCUGACCUCAAACUCAAGAUUUCCCUGCCUCAGUAUCUUGGGUUUGGGGAUUAUAGGUGUGAGCCAACACACCUAGCUCAUACCUGGUGUAUUUUGAAUAAGGUGUUAUUAAGUUGGGGCUGUAGCUCAGUUGGUAAAAUGCUUGCCUAGCAUGCAUGAGGCCCUGGGUUCGAUACCCAGCUUUCCUAAACCAGGAAUAGUGCACACACUUGUAAUCCUAGCCCUUGGGAAGUGGAGGCAGGAGGAUCAGAAGUUCAAGAUCAUCCUCAGCUACAGGAACUCGGUCUUAAACAAACAAAUAAUUAAAAACCAAAAAGACGUUAUUCAUAAUAAUAUCUUAUAUAAUAUUAUCAAUUGAUUAAAAUCAGAAGUAUUUGUUUGUUUUCUUCAUUGCUGCAAGCUCAACACUUAGCACCAUGCUAGGCACAAGUGGAUGCUAUAUGAUAUGCUAUAUGAAUGAUAGUAUGUACUAUGAUGUAAUAGG